CUGCGCUUCCGUUCGCUUGACUGGCUGCGCUUGUUUUCAGGGUUUUGGUCUGAAAACGGAUCUUACCUGCGCAGAGCAAAAUCGGUUGUAGAUUAUAUCCACGAAAAUUCCUUCUAUUAAAAUGAAUUUCAAGUCCCACCUACCCUGGAAGCAGAAAGAGAGAGAAGAGAGAGAGUAAAGAGAAAGAGAAAAGAAAGAGAAGUUGAAAAAGAGAAAGAAAACCAAGAAAGAAAGAGAAAAAAACCGAAAAUAAAUGGACAAGAAAGAAAAGCCAACGUGCCAUGCAUCCCUGGAGCAUGAAACCCAGGAUGGGCCGCCUUCCAGCCUCCCACAGCUGUGAUGCAAGUUGAACACAUACAGAGAGACUGCAUCUGCACUGGGUGGUUUUCCUGAGCCUUGGGGAGCAGAAUGCAUGAAUCCCAGGCUCAUAAACAGAAGAGACUUGCUUGUCUCAGAUGAAACUUUGGACUGUGGACUUUUGAGUUAAUGCUGAAAUAAGACUUUGGGGGACUGUUGGGGAGGCAUGAUUGGUUUUGAAAUGUGAGGACAUGAGAUUUGGGAGGGACCAGGGGCAAAAUGAUAUGGUUUGGCUGUGUCCCCACCAAAUCUCAUCUUGAAUUGCAGCUCCCAUGAUCCCCACAUGUGGGAGGGACCCGGGGGGAGGUAACUGAAUCAUGGGGGUGGGAUUUUCCCAUGCUGUUCUCAUGAUAGUGAAUAAAUCUCAUGAGAUCUUAUGGUUUUAUAAAGGGCAGUUUCCCUGCACGGGCUCUCUCUUGCCCGCCACCACGUAAGACAUGUGUUUGCUCCUCCUUCACCUUCUGCCAUGAUUGUGAGGUCUCUCUAGCCGUGUGAAACUGUGAGUCCAUUAAACUUCUUUUUCUUUAUAAAUUACCUAGUCUUGUGUAUGUCUGUAUUAGCAGCAUGAGAACAGACUAAUACAACAUC
rnacentral:lncRNA from 1 species